rnacentral:lncRNA from 7 species
GCCGCGCGUGCUGGUUCGCGCGUCGUUCACGCUAGACGUGUGCACUGCUUCAUGUGUCGUCAGCGUGCUAUGUCGCGCGUGUCCGCGCGUCGUUCCACACGCUAUCGUGCUGUUUCGCGCGUCGUAAACUCGUCUCGCUUAGAAUCUCUCGUGCUAAUUUUAUUACUUAUUUAUUUGACAGUUGUUAGUGUGGCAGAUUAAUCAAAACUAAAUAGCAGCUAUAAUUUAUGUUUGAUAACGUCGAAUUAAAUGUUAUAGAUAUACUGGUUUAGCGUAAACGCGAUACCAUCUCGACCGUAGCUUCAAGUUCGACGUUUCUUUUUCCUCGCGCGACCGUAGUAACACGUUCUAUUUCGUUUUGCAUGUUUUAUUAUGCUCGUAUUUGUAUGGUGUAAUGUUCUUAUGCAUUUAUGUGUUUGCUUGCUUGUGUCUGUUUGUCCUCGCUUCGCGUUGUGAAUAGAUUACGAUUCGUUUUCGAGCUUCGAUGAAUCAAAGAUCAAGCGUUGGCGACCAAGUGAUGCAGUUCUUCGAGUUUCACAAGAUCGAAGACCCUGAGCAUCUGUUUGGUGAAGGCAAGUGUCCCUUGACCUAUCUAUGUCCUAUGCAAGUCUAUAAUUUACUCCCCGCAUUUAUAUCUUUAUAACUAAGGAUUGACUAGCUUUUGUUAUCCAUGUCCUUGUUUACCUAUUUGGGUUGGAUUAUUAUUAUUGUUUAGCUUUAUGCUAUUGCUCAACACUAAUCAAUGAACAUGAUGAGAUUUACCAGUGAUACGUUGUUUCCCUUUUAUUAUGAUGUUAUACUUGUGGCCUUUAAGGGGGCUCGAGCAGUUUCUCGAGUGCCUCUCCGUAAGGACUUGUUCGUUGAGAGACCACCCGGGAUAACAGUGCAACCAUGAGGGUGAAAUGGGAGGCCCUUAGCUAAUUAAUUAGAGGAACUAGAGGUGUAGUUGCUUCGCCGUCGUGCCGUCAAUGGGGUCCAGGCACAGUGCUUGCUCUGCCGAGGCUGGGUGCCGAGGUUCUUUCGUUUUGCUUUUGUUAGUCACCCCCCCUUAGGGGAGAGGUACUGUGUUUAUCAAACUGGAGAAACCUAACGGGCGGCUAUGACCUCUAGGGAAUCUUUGUAAAAGCUACGUAGUGAUACCCUGCCGGACCACCUAGGAAGUGAUCAAUGGGGAGUCAUGAUCCCCGGGCAAAACAGGAAUCACGGCUCAUGGGUAAAGUGUGCGACCUCUGCAGAGGGUAAUGAAACUGAUAUACCAGUCGUGCUCACGGUUAAGAGCAGCCUUGGGAUCCUCUUUGAUUAGAGAUACUCCGGAUACACCUCAGAUGAUAACUUUAAUAAUGAUGGUGACUUUAAUUAUGAAUUCUAGUAUUUCCUCUCUGAGGAUGUACUUUUUGGGAUUAUAACUUGGGUUUUAUGAUAAAAUCUGGCUUCUACUAACAAUAAAUACCUGACCAACUAAAAGCAACUGCUUGAGCCUAACCCCACAUAAAAGCUAGUCCACUUCAGCUAAACGGGGCAUUUGCUGAGUACGUUGAUGUGUACUCAUCCUUGCUUUACCACAAAACACCAGGUUGUCCACAUUGCAACCACUGCUCAGGAGAAGACGAAGCCGUGGAAGGAGACUUCCAGGAGUUCCAAGACUACGACGAGUUCUAGGUGUGGGUUGGCGGCAACCCCCAGUCAGCUGCCUGUGAAGGCCCUAUCUUUACUGCGUUUCGCUUAGCACUUUGAUUUACCCGUUGAGUUGAUGACUAUGUGGAUGUCUCUGACAUCGUGAUGUAAUAAGUUAAUACUCUUUUAGGUUAUUAUUCGAGCACUAUGCGAUGAUGUUCAUUUAUGUAAUCGCUGUGUACGUGAAUUCUGAUCCUGGCACGUACAUAGUUCGCAUUUGGUUUGCCUUCUGAAACCAGGUGUGACAGCAUAAAUCACCAAAAAUGGGGAGAUUGAAAGGGAAAUGUGUCCUUGGGCAAUUUAUAUAAUGUUUUGGUGAUUAAGUGCCCAACACGUUUCUUUAAGUCCUAAUGUGUCAAAGGUUGAAAAGUGCAAAUCAAGGCAUGAGGUAUGUUUCUAGACUUAGUACAUUUGUUUUUGAAUACUAAUGAAGUUCUCUAAGUGCUAGAAACAGU